AUCUCAGAGCCCUAUGUCACCUCUGCAUCCUGGUAUCUACAAUAUAAAUUCUGUCAUUCCACCAAGUCCUUUCCACCCCAUUUCUAGGUACAGAUCCAACCAACCAUAUCGCCAAAGCAAUCAUCAACAAAGAUCAGAGUGCUUGAAAAGGAAUUAAAACACUCUGGAUAGAGAUUACUCUAUUCAUUAUAUGCCCCAGGAUGAACUCUGAAAAGCAGCGCUUAAUUAUCCAACACGUUAUCAAAUUCCUAAACUCCUUCCAAAAAGCAGGAUUAAAGCUUCGGAGUUUAAAAUAAAAAAUAAAAAAACAACUCCGCAACUCCUCUUACAGGUUGCCUUCAGGGUAUCAAAAGGGGUGGCACUUACUGCUUUGCAAAUACACUUUCUAAAAAUAAUCAAUAUUUUCUUUAAAUGCUUACGGCAAAGCAACCAAUUCACUUCAUUUUAAUUGCUCGCAAGCUGCAGAAUGACUUGAUCUCUUUAAUAUUUCACUCAUACUAGCAGCCACUGAGCUAUGACUAACCCACUCUCCCCAGCAUCGUCGCUGGCUCCAGAUGGCAAGAAAUACAUUCCCUUUAUUCUUGCCUGAAAAGCAAUUCUGAUUUUUUUUUCUUCCACCCAUUUCACCUGCAGUAAUUGUUUUACUCCAGAAAGAAAAUGGGUGGGGAGUGGAAGGGGAGAUUCAUGCAGAGGGGAGUACAGGUGGGGAAUUUACUUUUUUUUUUUUUAAUGGGGUGUAAGCACUGCAGCUUUAAAUCGUGCUGCCUCAAGCCCUGGAUUUCUUCCAUAGCCGAGCUGCAAAAUGGUAACUAGAAAGGAGGAAAAAAUACCUCUUCCUCCCUCCUGGCCAGCCCUUCCACAGCUCCCGGCAGGGCAGCCAGCGCGAGCCCAUCCCCCACGCCUCCCAGCCCAGACGCGCGGCGGGCACAGAUUAAAGCCAGUGAAUAAAACUAAAGGUCACUUUAAAGGAGUAUAAAGCUACAGUGGACAUAACGUGGCAUAGGUGAUCUUGACACCACAGAACUGUGAAGCCUGCAAUCCUACAAUAUAGAGGGGUAUGAGGAAGACAUCUCAGGAUACUGAAGAGUGUUGCAGAGGACCCACAAAUAGUCCUGAGCAUGAGAUGGUGGACAACAAACCCAUUUUUGGUGUGUUGCAGCAAGAGCGCUGGCCUGCCAUGAUCUGCUACAUUCUACCUGGAAAUACAAGUCAGAAGUCAGCCUGUCAUAUUUUUUCAAAAGGUGACUUGUCAAAAUGAGACUUCUUUCAUAAAAUCAGUCUGGUUGGGCAUGGUGGCUCACGCCUGUAAUCCUAGCACUUUGGGAGGCUGAAGUAGGUGGAUGGCUUGAGCCCAGGAGUUUGAGACCAGCCUGGGCAACAUGGCAAAAUCCCAUCUCUACAAAAAAUACAAAAAUUAGCCGGGCAUAGUGUCACACACCUGUGGUCCCAGCUACUCAGGAGACUGAGAUGGGAGGAUCACCUGAGCCCGGGAGGUUAAGGCUGCAGUGAGCCAGGAUUGGGCCACUGCACUACAGCAUGGGUGACAGAGUGAAAUGCUGUCUCAAAAAACAACAACAAAAAAUCUCUCAAUCUGUCCAAAUAGUUAGAUUGUCUUCAGUAAUCUUUCCAUCGCGAUCUUGCUUUGUUUCUACUACUACUCUGAUGCUACAUAAUUAAGGUCACCAAUCGUUGUCACUGUCUUUCCAAACCUGUUGUUCCUUACUUCCUCCGGCCAUUCUUCCUUGUCCCCCUCCCAUUCAUCAUCCAGACACACACACACACACACACACACACACACACACACACACACACAUACAUUUUAACAAUACCAAACUCCUUGUAGUUCCCCUAAAUGAAUCAUGUUGUUUCCCUUACCUGAAAUGCCCAAUCCCUUUUUUAUUUUCAUUGCUAACUCCUCUCAUCUUUCCAGAGUGUUCACGUCUACCAGGAGUGUUCUUGUCCCUCCCAUUCCUUUCUACUCUAGCUCCACUCACAGUUCUGUGUAAUCCCAUCUUGUGGACUAACCCGUGUUAAAAAGAUUUGUUUGCUGAUUUGAUUCUUCCCUCCACUACACCCCCCCAUAACACAAAAUGAGUCCCUUAAAAGCAGAAAUGUUGCCUCACUGGUCUCCAGCACCCAGUGGAGUAUUUGGUAUGAAUGUCGGUCGAACUGUACUCUCUCCAGUGUGCAUUUUGUUCCAGGAAGACUAGGUAAUAGCAGGAGCAUUAGAAGCCUCAUCUUCAGGGCUGUUUGACAUUGAUUUUUUAAAAAAUACAUUUCCUGAGGUCUCACUAGUGCCAGAAUAUGAAAAAAAUAAUCAUUCUUCUCUGACUAAAGUGGAAUCACCAGUGAUUUAUUCUCUCCUUAAUCAGUAAUACUAGCUAACAUUUAUAUAGCCCUCACUAGGUCCCAAGCACUUUGAACAUAUCAUCUUAUUUCAUGUCUAUAACCACCUUCAGGUAGGCACUGUUGUUACCCUCCAAUUUACAAAGGAGGAAACUGAAGUGCAGGGAGGUUAAGUAAGUGGCAAGCUAGAAUCUGGAUACAGGUUGUCUGGUUCCAGGGACCAGGCAGUUAGCCAUUAUGCUAUGCGGCAUGAUUUCUUGCUUUCCUUGCCCUUUUUUCUUAAAUGUUUAAUUACAUAAGUAGCAUAUCAAUACAUUUAAAUUGUCAAAAAUUCAGAAACAAAGCAAAAACUCACUACUAUUUGAUGGGUAUCUUUCAAGAUCUUUUUCUUUGUUUACAUACAUAUAUACAUUAUGUGUGUGUACAUAUACACAAAGAAAUAUGUAUUUUUAUGUAACUGGAUUAUGCCUUAUUUUUCUAUAGAUUUGUUUUCAUUUAACAAUUUGUCUUAAAGGUCUUUUCAUAUCGAUGCAUAUUGAUCUAUUUUAUUCUUUGAAUGUUGCAUAGUAUGGAUAUAUUCCAUAGAAUGGGUGUAAUAUAGUUUAGGUAACCAUUUUUCUUUUGCGAGUCAUUUAUGUUGUUUCUGAUUUCACUGUUACAAACCAGGCUGCACUGAGUAUCCUUGAACAUGUCUCUUCACAUUCAUGCAACUAUACGUCUAGGAAAGAUCCUCAGAAAUAAAAUUGUUGGGA
rnacentral:lncRNA from 1 species